GGGGAAUAUUGCACAAUGGGCGCAAGCCUGAUGCAGCGACGCCGCGUGAGGGAUGGAGGCCUUCGGGUUGUAAACCUCUUUCGCUCAUGGUCAAGCCGCAACUGUGGGUUGUGGUGAGGGUAGUGGGUAAAGAAGCGCCGGCUAACUACGUGCCAGCAGCCGCGGUAAUACGUAGGGCGCGAGCGUUGUCCGGAAUUAUUGGGCGUAAAGGGCUUGUAGGCGGUUGGUCGCGUCUGCCGUGAAAUCCUCUGGCUUAACUGGGGGCGUGCGGUGGGUACGGGCUGACUUGAGUGCGGUAGGGGAGACUGGAACUCCUGGUGUAGCGGUGGAAUGCGCAGAUAUCAGGAAGAACACCGGUGGCGAAGGCGGGUCUCUGGGCCGUUACUGACGCUGAGGAGCGAAAGCGUGGGGAGCGAACAGGAUUAGAUACCCUGGUAGUCCACGCUGUAAACGUUGGGCACUAGGUGUGGGGGCCACCCGUGGUUUCUGCGCCGUAGCUAACGCUUUAAGUGCCCCGCCUGGGGAGUACGACCGCAAGGCUA
rnacentral:rRNA from 1 species